AGGGCCUCCCUGGGCCUCAGGGUGCCAUCGGCCCUCAUGGAGAGAAGGGUCCUCUGGGGAAACCAGGGCUCCCCGGCAUGCCUGGCUCAGACGGACUCCCGGGUCACCCCGGGAAGGAAGGUCCCCCAGGCACCAAAGGAAACCAGGGUCCAUCUGGACCUCAGGGCCCUCUCGGGUACCCCGGACCCCGAGGUGUCAAGGGUGUGGACGGAAUUCGCGGUCUGAAGGGUCAUAAGGGUGAAAAGG